AUUCCUGAAAUAUAAAUAUUUAAGCUUUAAAUUUGGUUUACUGUAGAAGUGCAUCAUGCUGUAAAGACAAUCAAUCCGAAGGCUCACCUAAGCAAACUCGGGGUGAGCUUUAAGGAUCGUUGCAUGUCCAUGGUCUGUCGUCCUCGAGUCCGUCUACAUUUAGUUUGUUUACACUCUAGUGGGCACAUUUUUUCCUCAUUUGUAGCCAAACUUGGUCAGGAUGUUUAUCCCAGUGAUUGCUCAGAUUAUUUAGUACAUGGGUCAUUUUGGAUGAAAAACUAGGUCACAGGAGCCAAAAAUAGAAAAAACAUGUUAACACAUAAUAGGCUACCGUUUGACUUUCUAUCUUCAUAUCCUAACAAUUGGCGAGAUAUGUUGUUUAGAUGAAUUCUAGCACAAGUUCGAAUAUGGGUAUAUUUUGGUUCAAAAGUAGGUCACGCAAUAUUUUGUAAAUUGGACGGAAAAGUUGUUUAGAUGAUUUCUAGCUUAAGUUCAAUAAGGGUCAUCUGGGGUUACACAGCCCAAAUAUGGAAAAACCUUAUAAGCUCUCUAGAAGUAACAUUUUCAGCCAAAAUAUCCUAAAAAAUUUUCAGAAAGGUUGUUUAGAUGAUUUCUAGGUCAAGUUCAAAUUUUGGUUAAAACUCAGGGAUUUUUUCCAGGAUUUUGGGAAUUCCAAAAAGUCAAGGUUGCUGGAGGGGGUAUUUAUCACCUUGAUGGCUCUAGUUAUAAGUUAUAAUAAGUAGGGAGUCCUAAACACUGACGAAUGCAUGACCUUUAUCUUUUUAUCCCCUGCCGAUGGAAUCAGGAGAGGGAUAUAACAAUGUUUUGGUGUUGUUCUUCUAUCCGUCCGGCCGUCCGAAUUUCGUUUCCGGACUAGUUCUUUGCAACUACUGGCUGGAAUUCAACGAAACUUUAUAGGAAUCAUCAAUAUCAAGAGGAGAUGCGCAUAUCGUCAGCUUGUUCCGGUCAGACCCUUUAACUCAGAGUUAUGGCCCUUGAUUAGUUAUGCAGUAUGCAUAAAGAGUAAAAAUUGUUUCCGCGCUACUUCUCUGCUACUACUGGCUGGAAUUCAACAAAACUUAAUGGGAACCUUCAAUACCAAGAGGAGAUGCACAUAUCGUCGCCUUGUUAUGGUCAGACACUUUAACUCAGAGUUAUGGCCCUUGAUUAGUUAUGCAGUAUGCAUAAAGAGUAAAAAUGGUUUCCGCGCUACUUCUCUGCUACUGCUGGCUGGAAUUCAACAAAACUUUAUGGGAACCUUCAAUACCAAGAGGAGAUUGGCAUAUCUUCGCCUUGUUCCGGUCAGACACUUUAACUCAAGAGUUAUGGCCCUUGAUUAGUUAUGCAGUAUGUAUAAAGAACAAUAUUCGUUUCCGCGCUACUUCUCUGCAACUACUGGCUGGAAUUCAAUGAAACUUUAUGGGAACCUUUAAUAACAAGAGGAGAUGCGCAUAUCAUCGCUUUGUUCCGGUCAGACACUUUAACUCAGAGUUAUGGCCCUUGAUUAGUUAUGCAGUAUGCAUAAAGAGUAAAAAUCGUUUCUGCGCUACUUCUCUGCAACUACUGGCUGGAAUUCAAGGAAACUUUAUAGGAAUCAUCAAUAUCAAGAGGAUAUGUGCAUAUCGUCAGCUUGUUCCAGUCAGACCCUUUAACUCAGAGUUAUGGCCCUUGAUUAGUUUUGCAGUAUGCAUAAAGAGUAAAAAUCGUUUCCGCCCUACUUCUCUGCAACUACUGGAUGAAAUUCAAGGAAACUUUAUAGGAAUCAUCAAUAUCAAGAGGAUAUGUGCAUAUCGUCAGCUUUGUUCUGGUCAGACCCUUAAACUCAGAGUUAUGGCCCUUGAUUAGUUAUGCAGAAUGCAUAUAGAGUAAAAAUCAUUUCCGCGCUACUUCUCUGCUACUAGUCUGGCUGGAAUUCAACAAAACUUUAUUUGAACCUUCAAUACCAAGAGGAGAUGCGCAUAUCGUCGCCUUGUUCCGGUCAGACACUUAAACUCAGAGUUCUGGCCCUUGAUUAGUUGUGCAGUAUGCAUAUAGAACAAUAUUCGUUUCCACGCUACUUCUCUGCAACUACUGACUUGAAUUCAAUGAAACUUUAUGGGUACAUUCAGUUCCAAGAGGAGAUGCGUAUAUCGUCGCCUAAUGUUCCGGUCAGUCACUUCAACUCAAGAGUUAUGGCCCUUGAUUAGUUAUGCAGUACUGGCUGGAAUUCAACAAAAGUUCAUAGGAAUCAUCAAUAUCAAGAGGAGAUGCGCAUUAUAGUUGGCUUGUUCUGGUCAGACACUUUAACUCAGAGUUAUGGCCCUUGAUUAGUUUUGCAGUAUGCAUAUAGAGCAAACUUUAUGGGAACCUUCAAUACAAAGAGGAGAUGUGCAUAUCACCACCUUGUUCCUGUCAGACACUUUAACUCAUAGUAAUGGCCCUUGAUUAGUUAUGCAGUAUGCAUAUAGAGAAAUAAUUGUUUCCGCGCAACUUCUCUGCAACUACUGGCUGGAAUUCAAUUAAACUUUAUGCGAACCAUUAAUACCAAGAGGAGAUGUGCAUAUUGUUGCCUUGUUCAUUACAGAGUUAUGGCCCUUGAUUAGUUAUGUAGUAUGCAUAUAGAGCAAUAUUGCUUUUUCUUUGCAACUGCUGUAUUGAUUUCAAUAAAACUUUAUGGCAACCAUGGAUACACAAAGGCAAUUUACAUCUCAUUGGCAUGUCAAGAUAUUACUAUUUAACACAGAGUUACGGCUCUGUUAUUGCCCUGAAUAUUUAUCAAGUACAAAGAAUAUUACUGUUUAUGCCAUGAUAAAUAUAUAAAUAAAGCCUUAUGUCUUCAGUUGUUGUGUAAGUAAUAACCAGUUCUCGGCGGGGGAUAUAAAUUCAACGAAUUUGCUUGUAAGGAUCUAGGCUCCAGGGAGAGGAUAUAAGUUGCACAAUAUAAUAUUAUACAUAAUAAUAUAUAAAAACAUUGUAUCGAAAUUAAAAUAUUGAUGUGAUGUUUGUUGUUUUAAAUCAGUGUUUUAAAGUUAUUUACGCAAAAAAGAAAGCAUAUAUAAACUGCUGUAAGGUGACCAUGGGCCUCUUGUUUUUUUUUUUUUAGAAAUUAGUAUUUUUUACUCAAACUUCUUCAUUCCUUAUAGGAUUUACUUCAAACUCCCACAUCAUAAUAAUAUGACCAGGUUUAUAAAUCUAGCAUCCAUAAUUUCAGAAUUAUCUCCUCCUUGAACUUUCAAUUUUUAACCAGGUUUUCAACGAAUGCAGAAGUGGGCGGGCGGGCCUUUGGGCGGGCAGGCGUCAACUUUUGGUUUCUGCUCAAUAACUUUAGUUUGCUUUGGCCUAUUGACACGAAACUUGGUGUUGACACCAACGUUGGUGUGGAGGUAGCUUAUAUCAAGAGGCAGCCUGGGAUUGCUACCCAGGUGUCUGCGAUCAAGGUCAAGGUCACUGUUACUAAACAUAGAAAUUCAGUUUCUGCUCAAUAACUUGAGUUUGCUUUGGCCUAUUGAUGCUUAAUUUGAUGUGUAGGUAGCUUAUAUCAAGAGACAGUGUGGGAUUGCUACCCAAGUGUCUGUGAUUAAGGUCAAGGUCACUGUUACUAAAAAUAGAAAUUCAGUUUCAGCUCAAUAACUUGAGUUUGCAUUGGCCUAUUGACACUAAACUUGGUGUAUGGAUAGCUUAUAUCAAGAGGCAGCAUGGGAUUGCUACCCAGGUGUCAGUGGUCAAGGUCACUGAUACUAAAAAUAGAAAUUCAGUUUCUGCUCAAUAACUUGAGUUUGCUUUGGCCUAUUGACACCAAAUGUGAUGAAUGGGUUGCUUGUAUCAAGAGGCAGCUUUGGAUUGCUACCCAAGUGUCUGUGAUCAAGGUUAAUAUAUUCAGUUUUCACGUAAUAACUUGAGUUUGCUUUGACAUUUUGACACCAAACUUGCUGUGUGGCAGCUUUGGAUUGCCACUUAGAUAUCUGGGGUCAAGGUCAUUUGCUUGCAAUAGAAUUUUCAGCUUCUACUCAAUAACUUCAGUUCACUUUGACCUAUUGAUUGCUGUCACAUAAAAACUGUAUGAUGGUCGUUGAAAACCUGGUUUUCGUCGCAUUGCGGCGCUUCUUGUUCUUUCAUUUUUGUGUAGCCUCUACGGAGAAGUGGCGACAUAUAGGGAUCACUUCUCCGUCGUCUGUCUGUCUGUCCGUCCAUCCGUCACAAAUCUUGCCCGGACUACUCCUCAUAAACUACUGGUGCAAUUUCAUCCAAACUUUACAGAAAUGAUCAGUACCAAGUCUAGUUGUGCAUAUUGUCAGCAUUUUCCGGUUCAAUGAUUUUUGUCAGAGUUAUGGCCCUUUAAUAAUUUUUAUUUUUAAAGUUUGUCCGGACUACUUCUCUUAUACCACUAAUGCAAUUUCAAUGAAACUUUACAGGAUUGAUCUGUAGGUCAAGUCCUUGCGCAUAUUGCACGGGUUUUCCGGUUAAAUGAUUUUUGGCCGAGUUAUGGCCCUUUGAUAAAAAGGUGUUUUUUCUGUGUGUUGCCAUAUACACAAAAGCUUGUCCGGAUUACUCCUCAUAAACUACUGGUACAAUUUCAUCCAAACUUUACAGGAAUGAUCAGUACCAAGUCUAGUUGUGCAUAUUGUCAGCAUUUUCCGGUUCAAUGAUUUUUGUCAGAGUUCUGGCCCUUUAAAAAAAUUUAUUUUUAAAGUUUGUCUGGACUACUUCUCUUAUACCGAUAAUGCAAUUUCAAUGAAACUUUACAGGAUUGAUCUGUAGCUCAAGUCCUUGCGCAUAUUGCAUGGGUUUUCCGGUUGAAUGAUUUUUGGCCGAGUUAUGGCCCUUUGAUAAAAAGGUGUUUUUUAGCUCACCUGUCACAAAGUGACAGGGUGAGCUUUUGUGAUCGCUUUUCGUCCGGCGUCCGUCCGUCCGGCGUCCGUCCGUAAACUUUUGCUUUAAAUGACAUCUCCUCAUAAACCACUGAGCCAAUUUCAUCCAAACUUCACAGGAAUGUUCCUUUGGUGGUCACCUUUAAAAAUUGUUCAAAGAAUUUAAUUCCAUGCAGAACUCUGGUUGCCAUGGCAACCGCAAGAAAAAUCUUUAAAUAUCUUCUUUUAAACAACCCUAAGAGCUAGAGCUUAGAUAUUUGGCAUGAAACAUCUUCUAGUGAGUGUCUACCAAGUUUGUUCAAAUAAAAGCCCUGGGGUCAAAAUUGGCCCCGCUCCAGGGGGUCAUUGAUUUUCCCUAUAUGCAUAUAGUAAAAACUUAAAAAAUCUUCU